rnacentral:rRNA from 1 species
GAUGAACGCUGGCGGCGUGCCUAAUACAUGCAAGUCGAGCGAACAGACAAGGAGCUUGCUCCUUUGACGUUAGCGGCGGACGGGUGAGUAACACGUGGGUAACCUACCUAUAAGACUGGGAUAACUUCGGGAAACCGGAGCUAAUACCGGAUAAUAUUUCGAACCGCAUGGUUCGAUAGUGAAAGAUGGUUUUGCUAUCACUUAUAGAUGGACCCGCGCCGUAUUAGCUAGUUGGUAAGGUAACGGCUUACCAAGGCGACGAUACGUAGCCGACCUGAGAGGGUGAUCGGCCACACUGGAACUGAGACACGGUCCAGACUCCUACGGGAGGCAGCAGUAGGGAAUCUUCCGCAAUGGGCGAAAGCCUGACGGAGCAACGCCGCGUGAGUGAUGAAGGUCUUCGGAUCGUAAAACUCUGUUAUUAGGGAAGAACAUACGUGUAAGUAACUAUGCACGUCUUGACGGUACCUAAUCAGAAAGCCACGGCUAACUACGUGCCAGCAGCCGCGGUAAUACGUAGGUGGCAAGCGUUAUCCGGAAUUAUUGGGCGUAAAGCGCGCGUAGGCGGUUUUUUAAGUCUGAUGUGAAAGCCCACGGCUCAACCGUGGAGGGUCAUUGGAAACUGGAAAACUUGAGUGCAGAAGAGGAAAGUGGAGUUCCAUGUGUAGCGGUGAAAUGCGCAGAGAUAUGGAGGAACACCAGUGGCGAAGGCGACUUUCUGGUCUGUAACUGACGCUGACGUGCGAAAGCGUGGGGAUCAAACAGGAUUAGAUACCCUGGUAGUCCACGCCGUAAACGAUGAGUGCUAAGUGUUAGGGGGUUUCCGCCCCUUAGUGCUGCAGCUAACGCAUUAAGCACUCCGCCUGGGGAGUACGACCGCAAGGUUGAAACUCAAAGGAAUUGACGGGGACCCGCACAAGCGGUGGAGCAUGUGGUUUAAUUCGAAGCAACGCGAAGAACCUUACCAAAUCUUGACAUCCUUUGACAACUCUAGAGAUAGAGCCUUCCCCUUCGGGGGACAAAGUGACAGGUGGUGCAUGGUUGUCGUCAGCUCGUGUCGUGAGAUGUUGGGUUAAGUCCCGCAACGAGUGCAACCCUUAAGCUUAGUUGCCAUCAUUAAGUUGGGCACUCUAAGUUGACUGCCGGUGACAAACCGGAGGAAGGUGGGGAUGACGUCAAAUCAUCAUGCCCCUUAUGAUUUGGGCUACACACGUGCUACAAUGGACAAUACAAAGGGCAGCGAAACCGCGAGGUCAAGCAAAUCCCAUAAAGUUGUUCUCAGUUCGGAUUGUAGUCUGCAACUCGACUACAUGAAGCUGGAAUCGCUAGUAAUCGUAGAUCAGCAUGCUACGGUGAAUACGUUCCCGGGUCU